rnacentral:tRNA from 3 species
GGGGCCGUAGUCUAGCCUGGCUAGGAUGCCGGCCUGGGGCGCCGGUGAUCCCGGGUUCAAAUCCCGGCGGCCCCACCA